rnacentral:rRNA from 1 species
GCAGCAGCCGCGGGAAUACGAAGGGGGCUAGCGUUGUUCGGAUUUACUGGGCGUAAAGCGCACGUAGGCGGACUUUUAAGUCAGGGGUGAAAUCCCGGGGCUCAACCCCGGAACUGCCUUUGAUACUGGAAGUCUUGAGUAUGGUAGAGGUGAGUGGAAUUCCGAGUGUAGAGGUGAAAUUCGUAGAUAUUCGGAGGAACACCAGUGGCGAAGGCGGCUUACUGGACCAUUACUGACGCUGAGGUGCGAAAGCGUGGGGAGCAAACAGGAUUAGAUACCCCCGUAGUCCCUGUCUCUUAUAC